GUGCAGCCGCCGCGGUAAUACCGGCAUCCCAAGUGAUGGCCGCUGUUAUUGGGCCUAAAGCGUCCGUAGCUGGCCGCACAAGUCCGUCGGGAAAUCCGCCCGCUCAACGGGCGGCCGUCCGGCGGAACCUGUGUGGCUUGGGACCGGGAGGCCUGAGGGGUACGAUCGGGGUAGGAGUGAAAUCCUGUAAUCCCGUUCGGGCCGCCGAUGGAGAAACCACCUCAGGAGAACGGAUCCGACAGUGAGGGACGAAAGCCAGGGUCUCGAACCGGAUUAGAAACCCUGGUAGUCC
rnacentral:rRNA from 1 species